AACGAACGCUGGCGGCAGGCCUAACACAUGCAAGUCGAACGCUCCAGCAAUGGAGAGUGGCAGACGGGUGAGUAACGCGUGGGAACCUUCCCUAUGGUUCGGAAUAGCUCAGGGAAACUUGAGGUAAUACCGGAUAAGCCCUGGGGAAAGAUUAUCGCCAUGGAUGGCCCGCGUAGGAUUAGCUAGUUGGUGAGGUAACGGCUCACCAAGGCGACGAUCCUUAGCUGGUCNGAGAGGAUGAUCAGCCACACU
rnacentral:rRNA from 1 species